rnacentral:rRNA from 1 species
CCGGCACGGGUGAGUAACACGUAUGCAAUCCACCGGUAACAGGGGGAGUAACCCGGAGAAAUCCGACUAAUACCCAUAAUAUGGGCGCUCCGCAUGGAGAGCCCAUUAAAGAGAGCAAUUUUGGUUACAGACGAGCAUGCGCUCCAUUAGCCAGUUGGCGGGGUAACGGCCCACCAAAGCGACGAUGGAUAGGGGUUCUGAGAGGAAGGUCCCCCACAUUGGAACUGAGACACGGUCCAA